CUCGUAGUUGGAUUUUGGGUCGGAGCGACCGGUCCGCCGUUCCGGUGUGCACUGGUGGCUUCUUCCUUCUUGCCGGGGACUGCGUCUGGCAUUCGUUUGCUGGGCGUAGGAGUCGGCGUGGUUACUUUGAGUAAAUUAGAGUGUUCAAAGCAAGCUUGUGCUCUGAUACUUUAGCAUGGAAUAACAUUAUAGGACUCUGGUUCUAUUUUGUUGGUUUUCGGAACCGGAGUAAUGAUUAAUAGGGACAGUCGGGGGCAUCCGUAUUUCAUUGUCAGAGGUGAAAUUCUUGGAUUUAUGAAAGACGAACUUCUGCGAAAGCAUUUGCCAAGGAUGUUUUCAUUAAUCAAGAACGAAAGUUGGGGGCUCGAAGAUGAUCAGAUACCAUCCUAGUCUCAACCAUAAACGAUGCCGACUAGGGAUUGGCGGAUGUUAAUCGAUGACUUCGCCAGCACCUUAUGAGAAAUCAAAGUCUUUGGGUUCCGGGGGGAGU
rnacentral:rRNA from 1 species